rnacentral:rRNA from 1 species
UGUAAGCGUAUGCCAAAGUUGUUGCAGUUAAAACGCUCGUAGUCGGAAUUUGGCAGUUCCGGAUGUGUGCACGUCGUGUGCGCACUUCGCGGGGAUUGCUUUUGUGGUCUUGCGUAGGAUGAGGCACUUUUAUUAGUGAACGUCCUCACGCAACCACUUUUUACUGUGAGAAAAUCAGAGUGCUCAAAGCAGGCAUUUGCCGUGAAUGUAUUAGCAUGGAAUAAUAGAAUAGGACUUGGUUCUAUUUUGUUGGUUUGUUGGGACUGAGUAAUGAUUAAGAGGGACAGUUGGGGGCAUUUGUAUUUCGGUGCUAGAGGUGAAAUUCUUAGAUUACCGAAAGACAAACUGCUGCGAAAGCGUCUGCCAAGGAUGUUUUCAUUGA